UUACGGCCAUAUCACGUUGAAUCACCGGUUCUCUUAAGAUCACACCGAAGUUAAACAACACCGAGCCUGUUCAGUACCUAGAUGAGUGACCUCUUGGGAAUACCAGGUGCUGUAAG